rnacentral:rRNA from 1 species
UACAGAGGGUGCGAGCGUUGUCCGGAAUUACUGGGCGUAAAGGGCGCGUAGGCGGCCUGAUAAGUAUGGGGUGAAAUCUCACGGCUCAACCGUGAGGCUGCCUUGUAGACUGUCAGGCUUGAGCACGGUAGAGGCAGAUGGAAUUCCCGGUGUAGCGGUGGAAUGCGUAGAGAUCGGGAAGAACACCAGUGGCGAAGGCGGUCUGCUGGGCCGUAGCUGACGCUGAGGCGCGACAGCGUGGGGAGCAAACAGG